AUUGAACGCUGGCGGCAGGCUUAACACAUGCAAGUCGAGCGGAGAUGAGGUGCUUGCACCUUAUCUUAGCGGCGGACGGGUGAGUAAUGCUUAGGAAUCUGCCUAUUAGUGGGGGACAACAUUCCGAAAGGAAUGCUAAUACCGCAUACGUCCUACGGGAGAAAGCAGGCGAUCUUCGGACCUUGCGCUAAUAGAUGAGCCUAAGUCGGAUUAGCUAGUUGGUGGGGUAAAGGCCUACCAAGGCGACUAUCUGUAGCGGGUCUGAAAGGAUGAUCCGCCACACUGGGACUGAGACACGGCCCAUACUCCUACGGGAGGCAGCAGUGGGGAAUAUUGGACAAUGGGGGGAACCCUGAUCCAGCCAUGCCGCGUGUGUGAAGAAGGCCUUAUGGUUGUAAAGCACUUUAAGCGAGGAGGAGGCUACUGAGACUAAUACUCUUGGAUAGUGGACGUUACUCACAGAAUAAGUACCGGCUAACUCUGUGCCAGCAGCCGCGGUAAUACAGAGGGUGCGAGCGUUA
rnacentral:rRNA from 1 species